GACGAACGCUGGCGGCGUGCUUAACACAUGCAAGUCGAACGGAAAGGCCCUGCUUUUGUGGGGUGCUCGAGUGGCGAACGGGUGAGUAACACGUGAGUAACCUGCCCUUGACUUUGGGAUAACUUCAGGAAACUGGGGCUAAUACCGGAUAGGAGCUCCUGCUGCAUGGUGGGGGUUGGAAAGUUUCGGCGGUUGGGGAUGGACUCGCGGCUUAUCAGCUUGUUGGUGGGGUAGUGGCUUACCAAGGCUUUGACGGGUAGCCGGCCUGAGCGGGUGACCGGCCACAUUGGGACUGAGAUGCGGCACAGACUACUACGGGAGGCAGCAGUGGGGAAUAGUGCACAAUGGGCGGAAGCAUGAUGCAGCAACGCAGCGUGCGGGAUGACGGCCUUCGGGUUGUAAACCGAUUUCGCCUGUGACGAAGCGUGAGUGACGGUAAUGGGUAAAGAAGCACCGGCUAACUACGUG
rnacentral:rRNA from 1 species